GGACUCUGGCCAGGAGAUCUCAGUGUGUACAUGGCUUUGCCCUUCAUAUGGUAGGAAAAGCACUGGCCUGGGAAUUGGGAAAUCUGAGUUCUAGUCUGGGUUCUGCCCCUGACAACCAUGAUCACCUUGAGCAAGUACUUUAAUGUCUACGCAGUAAUGGCCCAGGCGCUGCCUCUCUCUGGAUAAUUUUGAGAUUCAAAGGAGAAAACCUAUAGAAUGGAGCUUGGAAAGUAGAAAUCGCUCUAAAGAUAUGAGCCCUGCAUUUCUGAAUGCCUUGAAAGAAAAACCAGCAAGUUGGGAGGGCUGUGUCUCCUUAUCGUCUUCCAGGAAUUCAAAACCGUGAUUUCCAGUUUCCAAAUGCAACUCAAACUCCAUCACCCUGUACAUCUUGCACGGUUUCUCCAGCAUAUUCUGAUCACCACCUCCAGACCCUUCUGAUAGAUUCAUUACCUGAAUCUGUUUGCUAUUUCUUUAUAUGAAUGCAAGAAUGGACUAACACACUGACCAUGGAACAUAGACAGAUGUGAGAAGAUCCAGAAAAGAUGCAGCUCAAUUAAUUAGAAAGGCCUCUGGAAUGGGCACAAGCCAGAUCCUGAACUCCUGCUCUCCCUUGGCUCAACCUCAUCACAGCCAGAAAGGAUGAGAGCUCUUUAAUGAAGUGGAUACAUGUCAGUUUCCCAGGACACAAACCAAAGUAAAGAAGACUGGAGCAUGCUCCUGUAAAGGAAAAUAAAAGGAGAUCCAUAAAGCAAAUCCAACUCACGGACACUUACUAAACAUGCACUGUGUUCAUGUAAUGGCUCCAAGAAUCUUAGUGGACAUGGACGGAAGUACACACCUGGAGUGGACCUAUAGAAGUUCAGAGUCAAAUGGCAGAAAGACGAUAUGGGCAUUGAAAACAUUAAAUGAAAAUAAAAGUAAUAAAUCACAAGAGAAGAGAGUAACUGAGGGUGUCACUGGGCAGUACAUUAGCAAUUAAUUACCAGACACCUAUGCAGUUAAAAUGUACUGCUGGCCUUCAAAGGUGAAGGAAUCCAUGGCCUGGAAUGACCAUAAAAAAUUUAUUUUAACAAAAAGACAUGACUGUAGCCUUUUAGGGUAAAGAGAUUUUAACAUUUGAAGAGCAGAGAGACAGGUACAGCACUGCAGGCUAGGAAAUGUGGGAGUUCAAAAUGGCAGACCAGGAGGAAGGCAAGUUGUGUUUGGGAAAAUUGACUUUUUGGUUAUUAGAAAGACCAUGUAAGCAAGCAGAGAUCAAUUAUGCUAGAAAUGUUUUUCAAAUUGAGCAUCUGGAGUGUGUUAGGCACUGCUCUCGGCACUGGGGAUACAGCUGUGAACAUGAUCAACAAGGACCCUGCAAUCAUGGAGAUUAAAUUAUAGUGAGGCAAACAGAAUAUAAAUAAAUAUACACAUUAGGUGAAAGCCAGAUAGCUUCGGGUCUUAUGGAGAGAGUUACUGUUGGAGCAUGUACUAGAGAAUGACUAAAUGGUAACUAUAUGGGAUGGUCGAAGAUGACCUCAAUGAGGAGUCUCUACACGUAGAUAAGACCCAAAUAGCAAGAAUGGUUCUUGUUCUGUAUUAUAAUCAAGAGGAAGAGGAUUUCAGGCAGAGGGAAAAAUGGGAUCCAUGGGCUAAAACAGGUACUUGAAUGAUGCUUUUGAGGAAAUAAAUGAAGAUCAGCGUAGCUAGAGCAUUGUGAUGAAGGUUUAUACCAGGUGCUGGCUGGUUUUUAUUCCUAGUGAGAGACAAUUGUUGCAUUUUCAGGGAUUUUGUAAGCCAAUUGAUAUAACGUUGGUAGCUUAUAAUUGACUAUGGUAGGAAUAUUCAUACCUGAGAAAUCGGCAAACACUGUGAAUCAGGACUCCCUCUUUGUCCCCAACCCUCAACUCCCAUUCAGAGAGCCUGUUAUUGAGUAUUUUUUUGCAUACCACAGAGUGAGUAUAAGCAGCAGCUGGAAUAGUAACUAGGAACCAAUCAUCUUAGGCUUUAUAAGGCAGAGAAAGGAAUUUUAAUUUUAGGUGUGUUGGGAAGCCAUUAGUUGGUCUUAUGUAGGAAAUGAAUAUGGUCUGAUUUACAUAUGUAAAGGACAAUUCUGAGUAUGUUAUGGAACACUUUGUAAAUAGGUAAAAAGAGAAAUAGGAAAAUCAGCUAUUGCACUAGACUGAGUUAGAAGUUGCAGUGGUUUUGCUAGGGGGUAUAUAAAAGGAAGAAAACUUAAUAAUGUUAGGCCUGACUAUAGGUAGAAUCUAUAGUUUUUACUCAUGAAUUGGAUGUAAGAAUUGAGAAAAAAGAAGAACCAAGUAAAAAUUUUGAGCUUUGGCUUGGGAAACUAGGUAUAUGGUAACGCCAAAAAGAGAGAUGUAGAGAAUUGAUGUAGGAGCAAAGCUGGGCUGGGAAAUUGAGAAAAUUACACCUGUCUUGUUAAAGUUGAAACACCCACAUGACAUUCACCUAGAAGGAUAUUCACACUUGGAUUGUUGAGGAAUAAUAAGAAUUAGAGAUACAGUUUGAGGGUCACUGGCAUAGAGAUAGUAAUUAAAACCAGGAUGUCAGUUAUAUCACCUAGGGAUAAUGCAAAGAGAGAGAAAAGCAGGAGAUAAGACAGAUCGAGCAGAGUGGGAGAAGCCGGCAUUGAAGAAUGAAGAGGAAAACCAGACAUAUCUAGUGCCAUGAUGCCAAGAGAAAAACCCGACUCCGAGAAGACAGGAGUUUGUUUGCUAAUGUUAUUGAGGGAUAAAGUAAAAUACGAAGAGAGAAGUAACUUGGACUGGCGGCAAAGCGAUCACCAGUGCUCCUUAUAACUGUGGUGUCGAUAAAGUAAUGUGGACUGGAUGAAGGAGCCUCGUUGGAAUAAACUCAUAUAGGAAUGAUGAUACCGUGUUUACCUACUAAUGGGAAUGACCCUAUUGAAGAGGGAACAUCACGUAUGUUGGGGAGCGGAAAAGUCAAAGUCCUCGAAAAGAAAUUUUCUCAUCUUUCAACAUCCAAUUCAAGUCCCACCAACUCUAAGAAAUCUUUCCAAGGGCUCCAAGGAUAUAAAGGAUAAGACACAAGGGCCCGCACUAAGAGACAAAAUUAAAGCCCUAAGGAGACACUGAAAGAGGCUAAUUGUUUCUACUGCAGCUUUCAUAGUCAGACAUCUCGGAUUCAAUCUUUGCUCUACCAUUUACUAGCAAUGUGACUUUAGGCAAAUUUCUUCAUCUUGCUAAACCUUUGGUUUUUCACCUGUAAAAUGAGGAUAACUAAAAAUGCCUAAUAGGGUUAUUUUUCAGUUUAAAUGAGAUAAUAUGGUUACAAUUCUUAGUAUAGUUCUUGGUUUACAACUGAGUCAAUAAAUGAUACAACUCUUUUAUUAUAAUGAAGCAUAUGGUCUAAUAGAGGUCCUGUCAUCAUCUUCUUUCAGGAAGGGGUAAAUAAAGUCACCUACAAGAUAAUGGAAACUAACAAUGGAUACAUUCCUCUAGCCAGUGGAUAUUGCUACUAAGAGAUAGUAAAACUUACAACCAAACCCCUAUAAUGACCAAGAAAGUAAAUAGAUCUUAGAAAUAAACUUGAUUGACUUAAAUGUUGAAUUUUAUCUGUACAUCAAUGUAUAGCAAGGAACAUGAGUGAAAGCUACCCUGAAUCCAAAGACUCAGAAAUAAGGAAGGUAGGCAGUGUAUUUAUGGCCUGGCCAUUUGCCCCAAUGCCUUUAAUCAUCCUGACUCUUGUCCAGGUCUGAGGCUUCUGCUCUUUACUCCUACAAAUUCAUUAUUUUCUAUUGUUUCACCCACAUUCAGUAAUUGAGGGAUUCCUAAGACUUUUAUCAAACUUCUACUAUAAAUUAUUUCCCAUUCUUUGGAAGCUUAGAACAGUAGGAAAGUUUUCUCUUGCAAAUUGUUUUACCUAUUUUAGGAUAAAUUGUGUUGCUAAAUGAAAGGUCAGGGGGCACUGGUUCUUUCUGAGGCUCUCCAAACAAGAUCAACAGAUGAAAUAGAGAGAACGUAAAAUUCACCACAGCAAGCUUCUUCAAUUAAAGGAUUUAUGAACAAGUAUUCAGAGAACUCAAUUCUAUGGAGAAAAUUGACAAGUAGAGACCUUGAAAUGGAGGAUGGCUCGAAACUAUGGAAGCUGGGAAGUGGUGAGCAGCUCCAGAAGUUAAAGCAGAAGCUAGAGAUGUAUUGCCAUCUAAAUUUAUCUAUUCAACAAGGUGAGAGGUGGAGAAAAGUCUUUGGAAGAAAAGUUCCACUAGGCUGCUUUUUUCCUCCCUUUUUUUCAUAGGAAGCACUUUGGAAACCAAUGGCUGAAAAGUUUGCUUUCUGUGAGAAGUGUAAAUCAAAGUCAUGUUUCUGUUUCCAGCAGUACAGGAAAGAGAGUUAAACCUGAUGGACACAAGCAGGUAAAAUCUGCCCAAAAUGACUCUGGGGCUUGUUGAAAAAUUAACGCCUAUGAGAUCUGUCUCAUUCGAGGGCAAGGCAUGGCGGAUCACCUUUCCACAUCAGUGCCUGGGUCUGACCUGUACCAUCUUUAUACGCUCAGCAGAUUAACUGGAGCCAUCUGAAGGAACCCUAUAACCAGGAGGCCGCUGUCCUCAGGGUUGAGCACCAUCUAUGGUCAUAUCAGGGAAACUGUAUAUUUCCCAGCCAGGAAUAAAUAUUCCUGCUUUCAAGUCUCCCACCCUGAUUGCCUCUGUGUUCUCUGGAAAUACAGAUAAAAAUAGACAGGUCACACCACAACUAGCUAUGGUUUGACUUUCUAAAGAGAAAAAGAAAAUACUAACCAUGAUGGGGUGAAAAUAGGCACAGAGACAGUAAGGUAUAGUUAAGAGUAAACAGCUGGAGUCAGUCUCCCUGGGAUCAAAUUCCAGUCUCAGCGCCUACUACCUGUGUGACCUCAAGAAGUUGUUUAACCUUUCUGAGACUCAGUUUCCUCUGCAAAAUGGAGGUAAUGAUGGUAGCAGUUGCAUAGGAUGAGUGUAGAAAAUAAAUAUUAACAUACGAAAAGCACUCAGAAUCAUAUCUGACACAUAACAAAAGACUGUCAUUAUUAUCAAUAAUUUCUCCUAUUUUUUUUUCUUUCUAAUUUGGCCUUGAAAGAAGGAGAACUUGGCCCUCUUAUGCAGGCCUUUGGAUAAUCAGACCCCAUGAAGGCUUUCUUACAUGUAGGAAAAAGAGCCUUGGAGAAGUCAUUGAGACAUUUCCUUGUUCAAGAUUUUUCUGCUUAUUCCAGGGCCCUGGAUCCACUUUAAAGGGACAUCCAUGGAAACCAAAGAGAUAAGACUGUGCCUCGUCAAUAAAAACCCCACAUCUCUGGGAAUCUGCCACCUGGGGCAUUGUUGCCCUGAAGGAAGAAGCUGAAGGGGAGAUUUAGUUCAUUUGAUUAUCAGCCAGAGAGGAGCCAUCCUUCAAGGCCUCCCAGUCUCUGGCUGCAGUAACUGUAACACUUUCAGCAAGUCUGUACCUAGGCCUUGAUCUGUGUGUAACUUUGGAGGUACUUGAGCCGUUAUUUGAAAGAAUAUUAUUUUGAGCAAAGGAAGGAGCAAUAUGAGCUUUGGCUCUCCAAUGGGGAAAAAUGUAUUCAUCCUUUCAAACCUCUCAGUUAGACUUAGGCAAAAUGCCCAAUCUGCAGAAAACAAUUGGAGAUCCCUCUGAGGUCCUACUUGGUGGAUCUUCUCUCUUAGAAGUGAAUAGACACAGGAGCACAGGGGUCUUAUGCAAUAGAUAAAGGUUCCUGCCUCCGGACACACAGCUCAACCUCCAGUCUCUGAUAGAGGGAGGACCUAUGCCUUUCCAUGUGUGCCCAGAACUCACCAGCAUCUUCCCUUGCCUGCAGAGAUCAGUUCCUACUGCUCCUUCCUUGGCUCAAAAUAUAUAUUUUUUUAAAUAAUGGCUCAAAUACCUCCAAUGCUGGUAACUAAGAAUGCCUGAAAGGGACUGUUACUGGCUCACCUUAAAAACCAAAGGUGUCAUUUUCUGAACAUUGUUUACAUAUUAUGAUUCAGUAGCAAACACACUGGUUUGGCAGUCAGACCACGAGAGUUUAGCCAUGGCUGUGUCUGCUACUAACUUGCUGUGUGACUUUUGGUACCUCUGUUCAACUCUCUGGGAUGAAUGAGUCAUCCUUUGGGUGACAUGAAGAUAACGCAGAUACUAUUCAGAUUCAUGAUUGUCUCAUCAAGUGAGGCUGCAAUGGCCUCCAAUAAUGCAGAAAGCAAUGAGACAUAUUAGAGAAUCUACACAUUCCAAAACUGUGUUUAAGGUAUUUCACAGAGGUCAUUGGUUGAGAAGUGAAUUCUAUAACAAAUCUGUGAUGUUUGACAAUUGAAAACUAGUAAAACUAUAUAGUUACUAAAAAAAAAAGGGAGACUGUCAAUAUACCCAUUACUUUAAAUGUGUUCACUUUUUAAGUAAUAAAUGUAUCACAAUUAUUUUUUUCAUUGGCCUCUGUCAUAAAACAACAACUCAAUGAUGAAAAAAUUCCAGAAAGUUUUUAUGACAAGCUGAGCAGUGGAAACAUGAACUUGUGAAAUAUUUAACUUUAUAUAAUUUCUGAAUCUUUCCAAAUAAAGAAUUCCUUCCACCUCUCCCUAGAAAAGAUGACAUGUCUGUGGUUCCAUUCAUUGACUAGAAUGUACUGGUGGGUUGUGAUGUUACAUUUACUAAAAUGUUCCACUGCCCGAUGAACACCAAACUCCAAACAAAAUAUCAAACUGGAUAACACAGUGGCCUGACUUUGUUAACACAGAACAUUUUGCUUUGGGUUACCAAGUAUCUGCAGAAAGGGGAAACCUGCAAAUAGAAAUCUUCAAGUGCAUCCAAGGAGGAACCACAUAUCACCAUUCUCUUUCUUAAAUCAUCACUCAGUGGAUUUUGUACACUACCACCAACUCUAUGCUAUGUAUUAUUUUAAAAUGGGUCAUUUGAAUCUUUACAGUUAUGUAUCAUCAGCACCCAAACUUAGAUCCAGGCAAUCUACAGCCGCAUGACUGUGUGACAAUGGGUGAUUAUGAAACAGAUUCAUACUUUAAAUUUUAUUAUGUGUUCUCAGCACUUCAUUGGGAAAGGGGAAAUCUUAUUUCUCAAGCAAGGAAUACAUAGUUGCUGAAUGAUGGAUGGAAUGCUGCCAUCUCUUGGUAAUCUAGCACAGAAGAAAACAGUUUUUAGAAAAGUGAUUUUGUAUUUUUAUUGGCUAAAGGCAAUGCAGUUAAGAAGCAUAAUUCUGUUCUUCUGGUGUCACAACAAUCUAUAAUUUCUGUUAUUAUUUUUAGCAUUUAAUGCUUACGGUGCAUACUGAAGCUAUUCCCUGACAAUAAUACCAUAUUAAAAAGAAUCAAUCACAUGGUUUCACUGGCUUAGCUUUCACAAGAAAGGUCUAAAUGAGAUUGGCCCGGCAUCUUCUCUUAUACCUUUGCUUUUUGGGAUCUGUGCUGAGAAUUCCCUAAUAAAGUUGCAAGUUACACAUGACCCCCUUUGAGCAUCAUCUAAGUUUUCUCUCCUCCAAUAUACACACCAGGCAGAGAGACAGGAAAAUGGUUGACCCUUCAGUGUAGCUUUUUGUAGAAUGAAAAAGCUGAGACUGGGCAUGGUGGCUCAAGCCUGUAAUACUAGCACGUUGGGAGGCCAAGGUGGGUGGAUCACCUGAGGUCAGGAGUUUGAGACCAAAUUGCCCAACAUGGUGAAACCCCAUCUCUACUAAAAAUACAAAAAUUAGCUGGGCAUGGUGGCAGGCGCCUAUAAUCCCAGCCACUCGGGAGGCAGGAGAAUCGCUUGAACCCAGGGGGCAGAGGUUGCAGUGAGCCAAGAUUGUACCACUUCACUCCAGCCUGGGCAAAAGGGCGAAACUCCGUCUC